UACGGAGAUGGCAACCGUUGUUCGGAAUCACUGGGCUUAAAGAGUACGUAGGCGGAUAUGUAAGUUGAUUGUGAAAGCCCAUGGCUUACCCAUGGAAUAGCAUUCAAAACUGCAUGUCUUGAGUACAGAAGGGGAGAGUGGAACUCCUAGUGGAGCGGUGAAAUGCGUUGAUAUUAGGAGGAACGCCGGUGGCGAAAGCGACUCUCUGGUCUGAAACUGACGCUGAGGUACGAAAGCUAGGGGAGCAAACGGG
rnacentral:rRNA from 1 species